rnacentral:lncRNA from 1 species
UGCUGAAAAAAUUACGGUGGAAAGUUUGUGAGCGAAAACUACUCAUGAUACCAUUUGGUAUUUGUAGCCAGGAGGACAAACGCCCGAGCACCCAGGCUCAAUAACGACAAAAGAGGGAAGCUCUGAAGGGCCAACAGAAAGCACGCCGGAAACAGGAAGCCCCGCCAGAACGCGCUCAACGAAGGAAGGAAGAACCACACCGUGGGGACCAAUCUCGGGCCCGACAGAAGAAGGAAGCACUGAAGGGUCAACAGAAAGCCCG